CACUGGAGCUAGCGACACAGUUCUCGUGGCCGCAGCUGGCCCUUUCCUGGCUCUCCUAGAGCCCUGUUCCUGCUGUAACUGCAGGCUUUGGCCCUGCUGCCCCUUGCCUGUUUGUGUCAAAGUGCCAGCAGGUGCCCCCUGGGCAAGCCUUUGCCUGUGGAGAGCAGCGUGCCGAGUCCUUGAGGACUGACAGAAUUGCUGGCAGCGCCGUGAGUAGUUCCUGGUGAGCGUGACUAAGGGUGCCCAAGCUGGCGUGUCAGGGAGGCUGGUGACAGGGAUGAUGCGGUGUUUCUGCUGCGUCCUUCCUCUCCUGCAGGUGUCACGGAGAACGAGCGUUACAGCCCUGAGCUGGGGGAAGGAAACGGGGGGGGGGUUGAAUUACGCUGGUGCUAGUUAAGUGCAGCGUGGGCUCACGCCCUAAAAGAGGCAGAGCCGCUGAGAGCCACUUCCCCUGGCGGCAGGUAGCAGAGCGGGCGCUGAGGUCCGGGACAGUCGGCCCCAGUCUGCCUUAUCUCCCCCUUUUAUCGAAGGGUCUUUGCCAACAUCAGGCACAAAAGCACCGAGAGGAGUAGUCUCAUGGCGAUGAUAGGCAUGGAAGGCUGCUGUCUGCUUCGAGUGCCUCCUUCACUGGAGUUUAUUUUUAAGUAACUGGACUUAGACCUGCCUACUGCUGCUGUUCAAAGGCAGCUUGGGGCCCUCCAUCCUUCUCCCUCUGCUCUGGGGAGGCUUUCUGAAUGAAAGCCCCUCUAUAUGCGUGUUUGUAAGGUGCCCUUUAUUUGACCUAGAAGGGUACUGACUUAAAGGGUGCUUUCACACAAGUCCUGAUAAGAUUAGAUACGUUUCAGCUGUAGUCUCAAAACUGUUUGCUUUGUGUGGUUGAGGUAACCAGGCAGCCAAACUGGAAUGGCCAAUUUAAUUUCCUGCUUAUUCACAUUGUUUUUUUAAGGGAAUAGUUUAAAGCCAACCCAAAACAUCUCGCUUGAAACGUGGCCAGAAAUGCAAAGGCUUGGUGUCCAGUACAGAAUGGUGUUAUUGAGGCAGGUAGGGGUAGAAUCACUCCAGAAAGCACCAGCCCUGUAAAAGUUGUGCUGUCACAGAGGGAAUAGGAAAUCCGUACUGAAAUCCGUUUGUGUGAUACAGAGCAGCGAGGAAUGGAAACAACAACAAAACAAAACCAACAAAGGCACA